rnacentral:lncRNA from 1 species
CGUGGCCACACCCAUCCUCAGAGCAGGUGGAGACGCAAGCUUGCCUGAGCCCUGGAGAAGCAACCAGAUUCAGUGGGAACAAAGCCGGCCACCUGGAGAGAAAGUGCUCCAACUCGCUGCCAAAGAAAGGCAAAUCAGAGCAGCCGGGAGACGCCGUGUGACUGUUUGCCAAAGUUGACAAAAGCGAAAGCGAGUGGGACCCUGGCCUUUAGGCAAGUGCUGAUCUUUUGAGCCUUCUGGUGGAGAGAAGGGAAGGGAGAGGGCUGGGGACCUGGCGGGGAGCGGGGAAGUCCAGCUCAGCGUCAGGGAAAGUGGUGUCAGGCACAGGUUAGGGAAGGGCAGGGCGGAACAGCUCUGGCUGGCUCUGCUGGAAGGUGAUUCGCGCACCAUGGUUCUCUUUAGGAUUAGGAGGCAGGUGCCUUAGAAGCAGGCUUUGCCUUGCGGGUGCCUGUAGCUAAUCCUCACGCGGAGAGAAAGGCUGAGGGAAGGUCAGGAAAAGCAGGAUCACCGCAUCUUCCCCCUGGGGUUCUCCGGGAACCGUCUCCUGGUUCUCCUGGUUCUCCAGGAUGACAGGAGAAUGAUCAAUCCCAGGAGGCCGAAAAGCAAAGACCGCCUGUCCCACGGAAGAAACUUGCAAUGUAUGAAUAAGAAAAGUGGCCAUUGCAGGGGUUAUCCAGCCCAGGGCGGGAGCCAUCUCAGAAGCCAGGAGACCUCUGUCUGGGCAGGGGCCCCGGGGCCGCCUUUGAAACUCUCUCCAACGCACACACACCCGCUGGGAGCCCCCCGGAGGAACGCUUGCCCCCAGGAAACCGAAACUCCCUAUGGACACCAGGACCCUCCUCCCAGAGGAAGGAUCGUUGAGCCGCUCCCUGAUGGAAGACAGUUCCAGAACUCAGGAAGAGGGAAGAAAGAGAGCACUAAAUCUCCUCUCAUCAUCGUCAUGAUGAAGCCCGCGGCGGCCCGGCCCCAUCCCCAUGCCCUCCAGGACAACAAAGUGCUCUAUUGUGAUCUAUUACAUUUUUCUCAAAAACCUUCAGCCGAGCACAAGGCCAGCGCCAUAUCCUGCACGGGCUCUCCCUCAUUGUCCCCGCCGAGGGAAACGGAAUGUGUCAGUCUGAGUAAUGCGCCUUCAAUGCUUCUCAGGAGCCGCUGGCUCGGCCGGGAUAAAGCCGCCCCCACCCUUUCUCAGGCCCGGCCCGGGAUGAAAGCUGCCCGCGCCGCCGGGCAGCCACUGCGCCACCUGGUCCACGGGCCGGGGCCAGCUAGGGGGACAGGGCUGGUGGCCGGCCCCUUCCCUGCUCCCACCCCCCACCGUGGGUCCAGGGGUUACAGUGGGGGCAGGGGGUACUCGGAGACGGGGAGCAGGAGUCACGGGAGCAACAGGGAACCAGCCCUCAGGAGCUGGAGGGGAAACUGGGGGAAAGACACUCAAGAGCUGGGAGGAAGUAGGUACCAGGGCGUGAGCCUGGCCACACAGUCCUCGGGCAAACCCACCCUGCUCUGCCCUGUCCCACCUGGCCCCAGCCCUUGCCCUGCCGGUGACCAAGAGGCAGCAGCAGCUCCCACCAGCGCCUGCACGACAAAGCCCUGACACACACCCUUCCCGUGACUUCCGUGUUUGUGGCUAUCGAAAUCAAAGCCGGCUACCUACAUCUUGUCAUUCAUUCAUACCCUCUCAUGCAUUCAUUCCUACUCUACCCGCUGCUUGAAUGAGUGGGACAUGGGCAGGCGCAGGUGGGGGAGGGGGUGAAAGGGACUCUGCCUGCAGCUUGGGUGGCGCCUGACGCUGUGAUCCCCAGCAGGACCUGCUCCAUCAGCCGCAGGGCCCCCAUGCAGAGUGAGGAUGCGGACCCCUGCAUUUCCCAAAACUGCUGAGGGCUGUUCCGCCAUGGCUGCAUAGCACUGAGCCAAGCACUGACGCCUUCUGAGGCUGGCCCUGUGUGACCGCGCCAGCCGGCUGGUGACACUGCCUUGCGCUUGGUGUCUCUCCAUUCCCUCCACGUGCUGGGACUCGGCCCAGGCAAGCAUGUUGACUCCAGGGUAGGGGGAGUCAUGGGCCUGGGACUGAGUCUGGCCUCCCUCUCACUGGCUGGGUGAGGCUGAGCCUACACACACUUGACAGCUCUGGAAAGUCGGGCGUUCAACCAGACAGCCUCAAAGCCCUCCAGCCCAGCUCCACACCCAGCGCCACACACAAGGCAGUGUUCACUCCAUGACUGCCGUGGCCCCCUGAUCUGCAGUCGUGCACCGGUGAUUGAGGGUUUGCAGUGGUAAGGGCCUUAAAGGUCACCCCGGCCAAUUGCUUUGUUGAUUAGAUGGGGAAACUGAGGCCCAGAGUCCGUAAGCCCCCGUGUGGCCGCUUGCCUGCCCUCGUGAGCCUCCCCUUCCAGGAGCGACAGGCUGUGAGAGGCACAUCCCAAUCUCCUCUCCAGUUGGUCUUCAGCAGCUGGACCAGAGCAGAGCUGACCCAGGAGCAAGCCUGGGUUGAGGAGUUGCACAUGGUCCCCAGACCUCUGCAGUCACCACUCACUGUGCCUGGAGGAAGAAAAAGGCCAGUCUUCCAGAGAGCCGGGCCCUGGAGGAACCCAAGAAGAGGCGCUUGUCCCCGAGGGCCUGCCCUGCCUCGGCGUCCUUUUCCUGGGGAACCCAAGACUCUACCUCGGCCACAGGACACAGCAUUCUCACCGGGCUUCAAGCCUGAGAUGCUGGGUGAGAGAGCAGAGGCACUGUGGCAGGUGGGAGCUUGCCCCAAGCUGGUACCUUCUUGUGGAAGAAUUGAGGGAGCAGACUGAGUAUAAACACCCUACCCAGCCAUGCCUUUUGUGAAGGGACUCUGCAGUGUCUCCCAUUGAGAAGGAGGGUGUGUCUCCCCACCUUGAACCUGGACUUGAUGUAUGACUUACUGACCAACAGAAUAUGAUGGAAGUGGCAGAGUGCCGAUUCUGGCCCAUGACUCCAGGGGCCUUGCAUGGUGCCCUGUGGUCUCUCAUGCCUCCACACAGCCCUGGCAGCCUACAAGAGAAUGACGAAUUUGUGGAGCCAAGCCAAGCUGAUCCAGAUAUUCUAGCCAAAGCCCAGAGAUGAGAGUGAACCCAGGCAGUAUCAGUGAAGCCGCCUACCUGACCUGCAGCUGAUGCUGGACACACCAGUCAGCCCAGUCCAAAGCAGAAAACCGCUAAGCUGAGCCCUGCCUCACCUGCCAAGCUAAAGGUUCAGGCAUUGUUUUAAGCCCUGUGUUUUGGGAUGGUUUGUAAUGCAGAAAUUAAUUGCGUCUAAGUUGCCAGGCAGCUGAGGAUGCCACUGUUCACACAGUUGCUGCCUUUUGCUCUUUUCUCCAGCAUUAAUUCUUUCCCCAUUCCCCUGGAAGCUGAUCUCAAGUACCCCCUUCCCCGGAGCCUGUCCUGAUCACAAUGGCCUGCAGUGCAGAGGCAGCAAAGUGUCGGAGAAAGAGCCCUGCAAAAGGCAGUAGAAAGCCCUACUUCACAGCAUCACUCACUCAUUCCCUGAGAUUUGUGCAGAGGAGAUCCAGAAAGCAGGGCGGGGAGCCGGCCUUCACAUAGCUUCUGGUCCAAUGGCAGAGACAGGCUAGGAGACAGAUGGGGACCACAUGGCCUCUUCCCUGCUCAAACCAGGUGAGCCCAUGGGAAUGCAAAAGCUGCCCCAGGGAAACUGGGUGCCCAGACCAGAGCCCACGUCCCUGGAUACCUCACUGGCCCACCUCUGACAAUUCCCUGUGUCCUGUGGACUCCAGCCCCACUGGAUUGGAAGGGCCAGGAAGGCAGACAAGGAGGCACUUCCUCUACAUCUCACAGCGCAGACAGCACCCAGGCUAGCCCCUGGGUGCAGGCUAGUGUGCCACCCUCGAAGGUACUUAGAAAGCCUUUGCUCAGUUGAACUGGAUGAUACUGGGUUGCAUUGAAUUGAAUUAACUGAGAUGAAUGGAAAUGAACCAAAUGAAGUCAAUAACACCCUUGCCUGGC